AUGACCGCAUCUGCAUCGAAGCUCUCAGAGCUGGUAGUUUGUAUCGGCGUCCUUUUUGUGCAAUACAGUACAGAAUACAUCCUGUAUCCAACUAAUGCAGAGUAUAUUCAAGUUGCCAACACACUGAUUGUGAAGAACCCUUUCCAGAGAAAUAUAAAGGAAAUGACUGUAAGUUACAUUGUUUUUAAUCAAUUGGUUUAUCUCUAUCAACAUAAUCACACACGAUAUAGUAACAAUAUAUUGUAAUCUUUAUUUGCUGGAAAAUGACAAUCAGUCAAAUUUGUGUUUUAAGCACACCUGACACAUCCCUAAACCAUAAAUUUAAAGCAGAGUGUGCACCACUUGCAGGUUAUUGUAGCAUAUGUAAGCACACUGCCAUAUGCAUAAUUUAUUUUUGCACUGUUAAUCAAUUUUACAUUUUCACUUAGUGCAGGUCAGUGUAAGGAAGAUACUGUACUACAGAUAUUUAAAUCUUUUUUUGUAUCUACUCCACUUUUGCACUGCCUGACCAUCAUCUUAAUGUUUAUGCAGUUCAAUGUUUUUAUUAUUUUUUAUAUCUAAAGCACCUUGUUCAAUAAGUAUUUAGAUGUUUCUCAUAUCUGUCAGGGUCUAAGCAUGAUCUGUUUCUGUUGUUCUGAUGAAGGAAACUUGUGUUGGGGAGGAUUCAGUGUCUGUUGAGAACCAUGUGAAUGUGCUACAAAGUGAGUAUCAGAAAACACAUCCAGACACCUGGACUGUCAAAGACCACACGGCACGAACAUUCUCCUGGAGACGCUGAGAAAGCACGGAAGGAAUGUCUGUGGAGGAUGUACUCAAAAACACUCAUACUUCAGAACACCUGCUGGAGUGAGUGUAGUAAAAUAAAUCAUCAACUGUAAAAUAUCUUGUUUCA
ensembl:lncRNA